rnacentral:rRNA from 1 species
CCCUUAGAUGUUCUGGGCUGCACGCGCGCUACACUGAUGCGUUCAACGAGUGUACAUCCUUGCCCGGUAGGGUUGGGUAAUCUUCUGAACACGCAUCGUGAUGGGGAUAGAUUAUUGCAAUUAUUAAUCUUCAACGAGGAAUUCCUAGUAAUGGUGAAUCAUCAGUUCAUCGUGAUUACGUCCCUGCCCUUUGUACACACCGCCCGUCGCUCCUACCGAUUGAAUGCUCAGGUGAGCCAUUCGGACUUUCAUCAUGCUGGUUUCCAGUUUUGAUGAAGGAAAGUCUUGCGAACCUUAUCAUUUAGAGGAAGGAGAAGUCGUAACA